ensembl:lncRNA
AAAACUCUACAGUGACUGAAGGUGUAAACGCAGAAGGGGUCAGAAGAGUGAAUUGUUAUGAAUUUAUUAUCAGUGUUUAUUUACUGCAGAUUUACAGCUAAAACUCUUGUAGUAAUCAUCAUCACCUCACUGUAGCAAGACCAACAGCACACACAACCCUCUGCAGCUGUCAGGUGUGUGUGUGUGUAUUGUAUGUGUGUGUAUUGUAUGUGUGUGUAUUGUUUGUGUGUGUAUUGUAUGUGUGUGUAUUGUUUGUGUGUGUAUUGUUUGUGUGUGUAUUGUAUGUGUGGUGUAUUGUUUUGUGUGUGUAUUGUAUGUGUGUGUAUUGUAUGUGUGUGUAUUGUUGUGUGUGUAUUGUAUGUGUGUGUAUUGUUUGUGUGUGUAUUGUUUGUGUGUGUAUUGUAUGUGUGUGUAUUGUUUGUGUGGUAUUGUAUGUGUGUGUAUUGUAUGUGUGUGUAUUGUUUGUGUGUGUACUGUAUGUGUGUGUGUGUGUGUGUGUGCAGUAUGUGUGUGUGUUGUGUGUGUGUGUGUGUACUGUAUGUAUGUGUAUUGUUUGUGUGUGUACAGUAUGUGUGUGUGUGUGUGCAGUAUGUGUGUGUGUGUGUAUGUGUACUGUAUGUAUGUGUAUUGUUUGUGUGUGUACAGUAUGUGUGUGUGUGUGUGCAGUAUGUGUGUGUGUGUGUGUGUGUGUGUGUGUGUGUACUGUGUGUGAAUAUUCACAGUUGCUGAAAGUAAACUGCAGAAUCAUAAACGGGGAAAAACCCGUCUAAGGCGAGCCAAAAGAAGAAGAAGAAGAAGAAUAAGAAGAAGAAGAGAAGGCGCCGCACCACGCUGCCUGUUGCUUUAAUGUUUUAUGGCGUUACAUCAGCAGCAUGUUGUAUAACUGGCCCAGUUCAUAAAGAAACUCUCGUCUAACUACACACAACAGGAAGCAGCGAAUGACGCGAUUUCAACACUCGCUAUAAGAUGAUUAGAGCCUCGUGGAAAUGAUUGACCUUGGCUGAGACCACUUUUCAUUUUUUUAAUUUGCUGAAAUCUCCCGAGCGCAAGUGUAACGCACAGAAGCAGGUUCAUACCUGUGUGUGUGUGUGUGUGUGUGUGUGUGUGUGUGUGUACACCAUAAGCAGUGUGUUUCAGCUGGAAGCAGAAGAAGCUGUACAGACAGUGCCGCUUGCUCGUUGGGCAACGUGAAGUUUUAAGCGCUCGGCUGAACAAAGGCGUUGUUUUUGCUCGUAAUCCCGAUGAAUAAUUCUCAAUCUGCCGUCGAAAAAUAACCAGAAAAAAGAAUAAAACCACGGACGGCCCGAAAAGAAACCUGACCUUCUGCGAUUAAUGGCGGCGCUGCGGAUGACGUGUUAGGACAAAGCCUCACAGAGACACACCGUAUGCUUAUUAUUUCCUUUAUCGAAUGAGUUAAUUGCGGGUCUGAGAGGAAGAAAAGGAAAUAAAAAUAAAAUUAAAAAAACUCGAAUAGUUUAAUCAUACGUUUAGGCUUUUAUACCCUGGCCUCGUUAGAGGAGCUGUGUAGCAUAAAUUACACAUCACUGGCUCGAUAAUUGGUUAUGAUUUAGCGCAAUAUGGAAGCAAAAUGGACGCUUCAGUUGGGCGAAUUUAUUUUGGUCAGCUCUUCAAAUAAAAGCGUUAUAAAUAAAAUGUGAGCUCGGCAUCUAUUAUUUAACGAGCAUGUGUGUAUAUACUGUAUAAUAAACUGAUCUAGUGAUCAUACAGAUGUUGUUAGAGACCCUGGGCAUUCUCUUUACUCUCUGUCCUUUUUUUGUUUUGUUUUUUUUUUACAAUAAAAUUGUAUUAUGGGAGAAUCACGAGGCCGACGUUCGCGAGCUGAACGAACUGAGUUGCGAAAACUUUAUUGGGAAGGAGCAGGAGGAGGAAGAGGAGCAGGAGGAGCAGGAGGAGUUGGAAGAGGAGGAAGAGGAGGAUGAGGAGGAAGAGCAGGAACAGGAGGAAGAGGAGCAGGACGAGGACCAGGAAGAUUAAGAGGAGCAGGAAGAGGAGCAGGAGGAGGAAGAGGAGGAAGAGGAGCAGGAGGAGGACCAGGAAGAUUAAGAGGAGCAGGAAGAGGAGCAGGAGGAGGAAGAGGAGGAAGAGGAGCAGGAGGAGGAGCAGGAGGAGGAAGAGGAGGAACGUUUAGGAGGUCGGCGUGCUUUUAAACCCGUACGAGGCGACGAAACCUUACAGAAACUGUGAUAAACAAUGUCCAUUCCCAGAAUUCCUUUCUAAAUAUACUUAUGAUGGAAGGAGUGAGUGUGCCGAAGUGAAGGAGAUGAAAGCGAGGCUGUAGUACACGCUCGUUAAUAGUAUAUAAACAUCGGCCCAUAUGCUGGGUGUUCACGCAGCAGCUGCCAUCGUCAGUCACUGAAAAAACAGAACGAGGACGAGAGAGAGAGAGAGACAGAGAGAGAGAGAGAGGGAGAGAGAGAGAGAGAGGGAGGGAGGGAGGGAGAAAACGAGAGAGGGAGGGAGACAGAGAGAGAGAAAGAGGGAGGGAGGGAGGGAGAGGGGGAAUGGCACGUCUCUGCCAAAUUGUCUUGGCAACACCAUUUGUCCUGGCAACAGGUCGGUGCACCUCUCUCACUCCCUCGCUCUGCGAAAGACAACAAAAUGUCUCCUCUCUCCUGCAGCUGGCUGGAUACACACACUCGAUCCGGCCUGGCUCCCUUAAACCGGCCCUCGUCUCUGUCUCUCUCUCUCUCACACACACACACACACACACACACACUCAUAAACCAACCUGCGUCCAUAUAAUACACGCUAAAGGACAUCUGGGCCACUUCGAUAUUAAAGAUCAGGAAUCGGAAGAUAUCGAUCAAAUGAAAAGCAAAAUCUGGCAAACGAAAGAGAGAGAGAGAGAGAGACAGAGAGACCGAGAAGCAGAAAGGCAGGCGGAGAGAGAGAGACAGAGAGAGAGAGAGAGAGAGACCGAAAAACAGGAAGGGAGACAGAGAGAGCGAGAGGGAGAGAGAGAGAGAGUGAGAGUAAUAAACCUAAAAUCUGACCAGCCAGAAUCAGAUCACUCUUUUAUGAGACAACACACGAAAAAGAGAAAAGAAAGCCCAUUGGCUCAGUGUGAAGGAGGGAAGCCACACUUUUUGCUUUCUUUUUUAAUUAUUAAACAUUUCGCCUGAAAGAGUUAACCCGCUAGAGUAAAUACGAGAAAGAAACACGCCGCCACGCUGAGCGUUAUGAACCUGUCUACCGACGUAUUAGCCUUAAAUAUCAAGCGAGUAAUAAUUCAGCGUUGUUGUGAAUGGUUACUAAAUUAUCUGCUUUAUGGUCGGAAACUCUGCGUGGUGAAGUGUGUGAAAAGGCAGGGUCCAAACUACUCCAAGCCACUUCCCACCGAGCACGGCUCGCUUCCGUCGGCUGGAGGAGCGCACGAGCUGGUACCUGCCGCUGAGUGCAGCCCGGCGCCGGGACGCUCCCGAGCCGGCGUCCGCGGCAGCGCCGGGCGCGGUAACGACCUGUUAACGAGCGCCUGCGCUGGAUCUUCCUUUGCUCUUUGUUUUUCUUUCUUGUUUCUUACAUUUUUCCCUCCCUUUUCUUGUAUUGUGCGCCAGUGAAUUCUUCCGAGACGAGUUGCACGCUGCCCUCUUCUCCAAAAUGGAGGACAGUGUGUGUCUUUGUGCCGAGCGCGAGCGCAGCUCCCUCCUCUAACCGACCCAGGCCCCGUUUCUCUCUCACACACACACACACACACACACACACACACACAGAGAGAGAGAGAGAGAGAGAGAGGCUGUAAACAAAUCAGAAGUAAACUUGGCACUGCUGCCAGAGAGAAUGCUUCGCCUACCUCUGUUUUAUUUUUUCAUCUCUCUUCUACAAACCACUUCCAGAUAUUUUUCCCUCCAGAAACUCACAGCGAUCCUCACGUGGACUCUGCCGAGCGCCAUAUGGGUGCCGGGGUUAGCUGAGGACACGCAUGCACCUUGGCAAAUGCACAACUUCCCUAUUAGAAUCCAAGAUACAUUUCUCACGCGGGGUGAAACGCCUGCCUGCUCGCGUAUGGAUUUAAAGGGCCGACGCGCUGCCUGCGCACCCUGUCUCUUUGCCUAAACAAAAUAUGUUUGGUAAAGAAAUUUGCUUAUUAACCAUCAACUGCCUGACAGGUUUUUAUCUAUGUGUUCAUGCAAAAAUACUGCUGGCAGCUUGUCCGUGCCAUCUGUGUGCUGUUUCAAUGGAAACGCGACUCACGGCCCAGUGUUUAGGCCAAACACGGCGCGGCUGUCCUGUUUAUAUUCAACAAUGUACGCUGCACUUACACACUUUAUAGAGCCGGCUUUGUGCCGGGAGAUCUCCUCGCUCAGAAACUUCCUUCAGGAAUUCUGCGUGAGUGAAAAACACGGCCAGCUGUGUGCUUGUACGUUUUAUUCACCACCUUAAAUUUACAGCGUUUGAGAUUCAGCUGAAACCUCGUGAAGAUUCGGAUUCAGUACGUGAUCCGUUCAUUUAAGGCGCUUCACGUCAGGUUUUUAGGUUUACCAACAUUUUCAUGAUACUGUAUUUUUUAUUUUAAUGAUGUAACCACCGGCGACAGAAUUCUUUCCCCCCAGCUUGGUAGAAACGACCUGAUCUCGCACACCGAGUUUUUUUUUUUAAUCCUGUUAGGUCAUGUCCCGUGUAUCAUUUAAAAGCACUGCAAGAUCACUUAUAGAAAUGAAAUGUUUGCAUUACUGAAACCAGUUCCUGGUUUUCUUUUUCACUACGCCACCGAGCAGGAUGAUUAAUAUCAAACCGGUCAUAGUGUGUCUUUAUCCUGCUCUCACCACAACCGCACCAGAUAUCACCGAGCCCAAACACGAAGCCUCGCUCCUUUCGCUCGUCGCGUUAUAGAACGGGACAGGAGUCAGGAGUUUUACGCCGUAUGUGCUUCGCGAGCUACAGAGAGUUUACAGACUUUUUAAAUUCUCGUAACAGAAUUACGAACGUUUACGGUCAGUGUAGCAGCUCGUCUCCUUCUCCCAAACAAAUGAAUUAUUAUGUGUAUAUGAUGUACAUGUUGUGUAUAUUGUGUAUAUUCUGUACACGGUGUAUAUUGUGUAUAUCCUGUAUAUUGUAUAUAUCCUGUAAUAUUGUGUAUAUGGUGAUAUUGUGUAUUUGGUGUGUAUUGUAUAUAUAUAUA